CCCUUAGAUGUUCUGGGCCGCACGCGCGCUACACUGAUGCAUUCAACGAGCCUAUCCUUGACCGACAGGUCCGGGUAAUCUUUGAAUCUGCAUCGUGACGGGGAUAGAUUAUUGCAAUUAUUAAUCUUCAACGAGGAAUGCCUAGUAGGCGCAAGUCAUCAGCUUGCGUCGAAUACGUCCCUGCCCUUUGUACACACCGCCCGUCGCUCCUACCGAUCGAAGAGUUAGGUGAAUUGUUUUGAUCGAUAAGAUUUGACUAUGGUCAACUCUCGUUGUGAAAUUCUGUGAAUCUGACUGUUUAGAGGAAGGAAAAGUCGUAACA
rnacentral:rRNA from 1 species